GUACACUCCUACGGGAGGCAGCAGUGGGGAAUUUUGGACAAUGGGCGAAAGCCUGAUCCAGCAAUGCCGCGUGUGUGGAGAAGGCCUUCGGGUUGUAAAGCACUUUUGUCCGGAAAGAAAUCCUUGGCUCUAAUACAGUCGGGGGAUGACGGUACCGGAAGAAUAAGCACCGGCUAACUACGUGCCAGCAGCCGCGGUAAUACGUAGGGUGCGAGCGUUAAUCGGAAUUACUGGGCGUAAAGCGUGCGCAGGCGGUUUGCUAAGACCGAUGUGAAAUCCCCGGGCUCAACCUGGGAACUGCAUUGGUGACGGGCAGGCUAGAGUAUGGCAGAGGGGGGUAGAAUUCCACGUGUAGCAGUGAAAUGCGUAGAGAUGUGGAGGAAUACCGAUGGCGAAGGCAGCCCCCUGGGCCAAUACUGACGCUCAUGCACGAAAGCGUGGGGAGCAAACAGGAUUAGAAACCCUAGUAGUCC
rnacentral:rRNA from 1 species